rnacentral:rRNA from 1 species
AUUGAACGCUGGCGGCAUGCCUUACACAUGCAAGUCGAACGGUAACAGGUUAAGCUGACGAGUGGCGAACGGGUGAGUAAUAUAUCAGAACGUGCCCAGUCGUGGGGGAUAACGUAGCGAAAGCUACGCUAAUACCGCACACGAUCCACGGAUGAAAGCGGGGGAUCGCAAGACCUCGCGCGAUUGGAGCGGCCAAUAUCAGAUUAGGUUGUUGGUGAGGUAAAAGCUCACCAAGCCUGCGAUCUGUAGCUGGUCUGAGAGGACGACCAGCCACACUGGAACUGAGACACGGUCCAGACGCCUACGGGAGGCAGCAGUGGGGAAUUUUGGACAAUGGACGCAAGUCUGAUCCAGCAAUGCCGCGUGCAGGACGAAGGCCUUCGGGUUGUAAACUGCUUUUGUACGGAACGAAACGGUGAGCUCUAAUACAGUUUGCUAAUGACGGUACCGUAAGAAUAAGCACCGGCUAACUACGUGCCAGCCGCCGCAGUAA